rnacentral:rRNA from 1 species
CAGUAGCCGCGGGAAUACGAAGGGGGCUAGCGUUGUUCGGAUUUACUGGGCGUAAAGGGCGCGUAGGCGGACUGAUAAGUCAGGGGUGAAAUCCCAAGGCUCAACCUGGGAACUGCGCUUGUGACUGCACAGCUAGAGUAUGGCAGAGGGGGGUGGAACUCCACGUGUAGCAGUGAAAUGCGUAGAGAUGUGGAGGAACACCGAUGGCGAAGGCAGCCCCCUGGGCCAAUACUGACGCUCAUGCACGAAAGCGUGGGGAGCAAACAGGAUUAGAUACCCGUGUAGUCCCUGUCUCUUAUAC